rnacentral:SRP_RNA from 1 species
GCUGGGCAUGGUGGUGCAUGCCUGUAAUCCCAGCUACUCAGGAGGCUGAGGCAGGAGAAUUGCUUGAACCCAGGAGGUGGAGGUUGCAGUGAGCUGAGAUCACACCAGCUGCACUCCAGCCUGGGUGAGAGAGCGAGACUCUGCCCCAA